UACGUAGGCAGCAAGCGUUGUUCGGAAUUACUGGGCGUAAAGGGUGCGUAGGUGGUCGUUUAAGUCCGUUGUGAAAUCCCUGGGCUCAACCUGGGAAUGGCAGUGGAUACUGGACGGCUAGAAUGCGGUAGAGGGUAGUGGAAUUCCCGGUGUAGCAGUGAAAUGCGUAGAGAUCCGGAGGAACACCAAAGGCGAAGGCAGUGUCCUGGGGAGUACCUGACGCUCAGGUGCGAAAGCCAGGGGAGCGAACGGG
rnacentral:rRNA from 1 species